rnacentral:rRNA from 1 species
GACGAACCGUGCGAACGUUGUUCGGAAUCACUGGGCCUAAAGGGCGCGUAGGCGGCUUAUCAAGUCAGGGGUGAAAUCCGGCAGCUUAACUGUCGAAGUGCCUUUGAUACUGAUGAGCUCGAGGGAGGUAGGGGUGUGCGGAACUUCCGGUGGAGCGGUGAAAUGCGUUGAUAUCGGAAGGAACGCCGGUGGCGAAAGCGGCGCACUGGACCUCUUCUGACGCUGAGGCGCGAAAGCUAGGGGGGCAAACGGG